rnacentral:rRNA from 1 species
CGAAGGACCCAAGCGUUAUCCGGAUUUAUUGGGUUUAAAGGGUGCGUAGGCGGGUUGUUAAGUCAGUGGUGAAAGCUCCGAGCCUAACUCGGAAACUGCCAUUGAUACUGACGAUCUUGAGUACAUUUGAGGUGGGCGGAAUGUGUCAUGUAGCGGUGAAAUGCUUAGAUAUGACACAGAACACCGAUUGCGAAGGCAGCUCACUAAACUGUAACUGACGCUGAGGCACGAAAGCGUGGGGAGCAAACAGGAUUAGAUACCCUGGUAGUCCACGCCCUAAACGAUGAUCACUCGAUGUGUGCGAUACACUGUACGCGUCCGAGCGAAAGCAUUAAGUGAUCCACCUGGGGAUACGGCCGCAAGGCUG